CUUUACUGUAACUUGAAAUUGAAAUUGGACUUUAUUUGCGCAGGAUAGGUGGGAGGCCUUGAGAAUCUUCUUGCGGGAAGAUUGGAGCCAUCAGUGAGAUACCACUCUUGUAAUGUUAGAUUUCUAACUUUGAAUCAUUAUCUGGUCAAAGAACAGUUUCAGGCGGGCAGUUUGACUGGGGCGGUCGCCUCCUAAAGGGUAACGGAGGCGCACAAAGGUUUCCUCUGAACGGGUAGAAAUCGUAUCUAGAGUGUAAAGGCAUAAGGAAGCUUGACUGUGAGACCUACAAGUCGAGCAGGGACGAAAGUCGGUCUUAGUGAUCUGACGGUGCUGAGUGAAAAGGCCGUCACUCAACGGAUAAAAGUUA
rnacentral:rRNA from 1 species